ensembl:lncRNA
AAUAUUAUUAGCCGUUACCCACAUAUCAGCAGCUAGUUUGCUAGUUACAUGUCCAUUGAAUCCAGUGUAACAUUUAAUCUAAGUUCAAUGUUUCGAAAUGCAAAGAUGUAAAAAAACUGAGCCAAUUUCUGCAAUGCUUUUGUCUUAAACAGAGACAACAUCCUGGAGGCUGUUAAAGCAGAAGACCUUAUGACAGAUGAAGAGAUCACAGUAAAAACAAGGAUCUGGAGAAAAACCUGCUAAGUGGGCAUGUUCUGUCUGUGGAAACACAAAGGAUUUGAUCCUCUCCUCAGAAAACAUUACAGCAAACAUGUGACUUUAUUCAAUGACAUGAAGACAGACGAGAUUAUCCAGAGACUGGAAAAAAUACUGACAGUACCUGGAACUGUAGCUGAGAAGCAGCUAUUCAUAACAGAGGUCAUUUUGCCAGAGGAAAACCUUCUUAUCCUACAUAGCCUGGCUGCAGCUGACUGGUGCGAUAAGGCAACAUUCAAUGGAGGACUGAAACUCCCUGCUGUCCUUUCGAUGGACAGAGAAGAAAGAAAAGAAGCCAUCCAGGAGAUGGACACCUGGGAUGGGGAAAUUGAUGAGGAUUCUCCAGCAGAACUUUAUACAUUCGUUUUUGAAAGAAAAAAGGCCUACGACAACUUCUGGGAAGAAUGUGUUGAUAAAAACAAUUACAGACUGUUUACAAGAUUUGAG